rnacentral:rRNA from 1 species
GCUACGGGAGGCAGCAGUGAGGAAUAUUGGUCAAUGGGCGGGAGCCUGAACCAGCCAAGUCGCGUGAGGGAAGACGGUCCUACGGAUUGUAAACUUCUUUUGUCAGGGAGCAAUUGAGUCCACGUGUGGGCUUAGCGAGAGGACCUGAAGAAAAAGCAUCGGCUAACUCCGUGCCAGCAGCCGCGGUAAUACGGAGGAUGCGAGCGUUAUCCGGAUUAUUGGGCGUAAAGGGUGCGUAGAUGGCAUAGUAAGUCGUGUGUAAAAAUGCUGGGUUCAACCCAGUAGGGCAAAAGAUACUGCAAAGCUAGAGUAUGACAGAGGCAAGUGGAACUACAUGUGUAGCGGUAAAAUGCGUAAAUAUAUGUAAGAACACCAGUGGCGAAGGCGGCUUGCUGGGUCGAUACUGACAUUGAGGCACGAAAGCGUGGGGAGCAAACAGGAUUAGAUACCCCUGUAGUC